rnacentral:lncRNA from 1 species
GAGGACAGUGGCCAAGUUAGCAGAGGAAAGAACAAAGUUGUUUGACAAGUUCACAGAUAUGUUGAAUGCUGACACAACAAGAAUGGAGCCAUGGGCAAAGGAGAUGCAUAUGAAGGCUGUUACAAGAUUGGGGGAUCAACUUUUCAGGGAGGAAUAGAAGGUAUGUAAUAUUCCUGUGUGUGUCAUAUUCCUUUGUUCUCCAUCUUGAUUCCUGUCAUAUUCCUGUGUGUAUCCUAUUCUUGCAUUUUCCUAUUCCUGAUCUAAUUUUGUUCUCCCUGUAAGGUAUGAGGUUACUCCUUCCCUUGCCUCUUCUUGUUAGGAUUAAUAACUUAGAACACAUACCACUUGAUGUACUUUAGAAACAAAUGCUAGAAUCUGCAUGUGUUCGUUACGAAGUCCACAUAUAUGUUCCACUAAAAGUCUGCACUAUUGUUUUUGAAAUAUGCAUUGUACUCAGAAAUCUACACUAUACUGUACCCAGAAAUCUGCACUAUUGUUUUUAAAAUAUGCAUUGUACUCAUAAAUCUACACUGUACUGUACCCAAAAAUCUGCACUAUUGUUUUUGAAAUGCUAUUUUUUAAUUAGAAUGAUGGUUGUGCUAUAAAACUCACCUUCAGUUUUUAAAACUGUAGUUGCACUACAGCAGGAUACUUGUACUAUUGUCAGUUGCUCCAUGCAAAUUUAACAGGGAAUGCUCUAGCCAAACCAAAUGGCCAACUUAGAAAAAAUCUGUGUUUUCGACAUGCUUGUUAUUAUACUCUAACUUGUGGCUUGCUUCUCGUGUAGAUGUUCUACAUAUGUCAAAAAAAGCGGAUUUCAUGUGCCAGGAAGCGUAGAAGAUGUGAGAUUUUUUUUUGGAAUGAGAAGAAUCAAAGGAUACAACAAAAAAUUCAGUCUGAAAUUUGAUUUGUGUGUUUACAAAUCUUUCCUUUAUGGGUAUUUGAAACCUUAAGAUUAUUCUGUUACUAUGGGAUUUUGUAGUGUCAUGGACAAGACAUACUGACACUGUUUGCAUAUCAAGAUUGUUGAUUUUUGUUUGGAAAUCAAGUUGUUUGAUAACUUUCAGUGUGUAUGCUUGUUGAUAUAGUGUGUAUGCUUGCUGAUAUUGUUAAUUCAAAUAGAUUCUGGUAUUGUUU